rnacentral:rRNA from 1 species
GACGAACGCUGGCGGCGUGCUUAACACAUGCAAGUCGAACGGAGUCGCGAACGGGUGAGUAUUACGUGAGUAACCUGCCCUCAACUGUGGGAUAAGCCUGGGAAACUAGGUCUAAUACUGCAUAGUUGUGGAUGGGCUCGCGGCCUAUUAGCUUGUUGGUGGGGUGAUGGCCUACCAAGGCGGUGACGGGGAGCCGGCCUGAGAGGGUGGUCGGCCAGAUUGGGGCUGAGGUACGGCCCGGACUCCUGCAGUAGGCAGCAGUGGGGAAUAUUGCGCAAUGGGAGCAAGCCUGAUGCAGCGACGCCGCGUGAGGGAUGAAGGCUUUCGGGUUGUAAACCUCUUUCGGUACAGAACGGGUAUGUGAAGAAGAAGCGCCGGCUAACUACGUGCCAGCAGCCGCGGUAAUAC